CCAAACAUUCAACUUCUACACAAUUUCCCUUUCUUUGAUCCCUAUUUUUCUUUUUUCUUUUUCUUUUUACAUCCACACAACCAUGAGCAUUUUCUUUGAUUUUUUUCUUUCUUUACGUUUUUCUUUGCUCUAUGGUUUCAAGGGUGAUUUCUUUUUCUUGUUUCUUUUCAUAUUUUCACCCUUUCAUAAAACUCACUUUUCCAAGUUUCUAAUCAACUCUUUUUUCUUUACUCUCCCCAACUUUAGAUUCCAAAACCAAAUUUAUUCAAUAAUGCUCCCUACUUAGACAUAAGCAAAAGGCAAAAUUUGCAAACAAUUCGGUUUGAGGGUUCAAUUGAUACGAAAG
rnacentral:lncRNA from 1 species